rnacentral:lncRNA from 1 species
GCGCACUGGUACGGUGUUCAGGCUCUUUAGGUGCGCACUUCAGACGCCCAGCACCCGCUGACUCAGAGAAGUGCUGCGGUGGGACUGUCUGUAGAAAGUUCCCGCAGCUUGAGAAGCCCUCAUAAAGACGGAGACCAUUGGUGUUUCAAGGGAGCUGCUAGUUCAAGAGAUGAAUCCAAAAGGAACUCCUUCGGAGAUGAUUAGAUCAGCCACGUCCAGCAGAUGAAGAUCAACCAGUGCCACAUUUAUUCUAUGUGCCAUGAACGACCCACACGCCUUCUCACUGAUGGGAGCUCGUUGGGAGGGAAACCUAGAAUUCUGAACGGGAAGAUGACCUUACUGCUCUCAGAUUCAUGGCCCCCAACGUGAGGAUUCUCCGACUGGGCGAACCUCUCGGCACGGACAGCCUUCACCACUCCACUGAUGCCAUUGACCUCCACGUGCAGUUCGUCUCAUGGAUUCUUAUUUCUGGAUCACCUUUGCAUUUAAAGACAUCAUAAAAUCGGUUUUAUGUAUUUUG